GCUGGAAUUGCUAGUAAUGGCAGGUCAGCAUACUGCCGUGAAUACGUUCCCGGGCCUUGUACACACCGCCCGUCACACCAUGAGAGUCGGGAAUACCCGAAGCCUGUGAGCCAACUUUUAAAGAGGCAACAGUCGAAGGUAGAAUCAAUGAUUGGGGUGAAGUCGUAACAAGGUAUC
rnacentral:rRNA from 1 species